GCCCAGGUGGCGGAAUAGGUAGACGCGACGGUCUCAAACACCGUUGCCGCAAGGCGUGCCGGUUCGAUUCCGGCCCUGGGCACCA
rnacentral:tRNA from 2 species